UACGGAGGAUGCAAGUGUUAUCCGGAAUCACUGGGCGUAAAGCGUCUGUAGGUGGUCAAAUAAGUCACCUGUUAAAUCUUGAGGCUCAACCUCAAAAUCGCAGUCGAAACUAUUAGACUAGAGUAUAGUAGGGGUAAAGGGAAUUUCCAGUGGAGCGGUGAAAUGCGUAGAGAUUGGAAAGAACACCGAUGGCGAAGGCACUUUACUGGGCUAUUACUAACACUCAGAGACGAAAGCUAGGGUAGCAAAUGGG
rnacentral:rRNA from 1 species